ACUAUUUAAAACAUGAGCAGCAGAGUGUGUUUUAUCAGAUAUAAAGAUACGAGGCGAAGCCGAGUAUCUUUAGGUCUGAUAAAACACGCACUGUGAAUGUUUUAAAUUGCUUCAAAAACGAUCGAUCUAGUAAGUUCAUUGGCGAAGUAAUUUUCAAAAAAUACGUUGUGUAAGUCAAGAAAAUCCAAUCUAACGUUUAUGUAAAUCAAGGGAAAUCUCUAUCACAUAUAAAGAUAUG